UUGCUUUAGCAGCACAUAUACUGAAAUGGAAACAGCACAGAGAUGAUGAUGUGGCCCCAGGCAUAUGAAUGACAUACAAAUCCCUAAGGCAUUCCACAUUUUU